AAAAAGUCCAAUUCAGGUUCAUACCCCAAUUCAGAAUUAAAAGUAUCAAUACACUCCUCCACCACCGAAUCCUCCGCGUCUCUCUUCUCGAUCGGUCGGAGCUUUGCGCCAGUUAAGAGGAGAAGUGUGAUCGGAGAGUGAAAUCCACCACCUGACGACCGUUCCUUCCACAUCAUCCUCAGAGAAUCAUAAUGUGUCUUAGCAAGUGAUUUGCUCAGAUACGCGAUGGGUAUUCUUUUCUACAUCAAUACUGCGCCAAUUUUGGCAUCUAUUCUUUUC